GAGCUAGAUGAGAAAAAAGAUGCCACAUUCUCUAGGGAUUAUUAUUGUCCUUCACAACAUGGGACACUGAACGGUUGUGCAGUCAUAACACCAUCCCUUGCUUGCUUGUGAAGUCUAGGUUCAGGUUCUCCUUUCCCAGUGGUAAGAAAAGGUUGCCAGUUCCAUGACUUGCUCCUUCCCAGGCUUCGCAGGGACCAGAUGCUACAAGAGAGCUACGUGCCACAGACCUGGCCUUGAGUGGUUUCACCCUAGAAUCAGAACUUUGACAACCCUUCACCACACCACAGCAAAUGUUUUGGUAAAAAGAUCCACUGAAACAGAAGACAAAGAUUAGGCAACAUCCAGAGCUGCAACUACAGAACUUGCAGUCUUCCACCAUCAUGCUGCCCAGCCAAAAGCUGUGUCACAGCCAUCAUGGAAACAGGAGGAAAAUAAACAAGAAGCAGCACUCCAGCCCGCCAGAUCCAGC